rnacentral:rRNA from 1 species
UACGAAGGGGGCUAGCGUUGCUCGGAGUGACUGGGCGUAAAGGGCGCGUAGGCGGUUCGUACAGUCAGACGUGAAAUUCCCGGGCUCAACCUGGGGGCUGCGUUUGAUACGUGCGGGCUUGAGUUCGGAAGAGGGUCGUGGAAUUCCCAGUGUAGAGGUGAAAUUCGUAGAUAUUGGGAAGAACACCGGUGGCGAAGGCGGCGACCUGGUCCGAUACUGACGCUGAGGCGCGAAAGCGUGGGGAGCAAACAGG